UCGACCUACGGGAGGCAGCAGUGGGGAAUAUUGCACAAUGGGGGAAACCCUGAUGCAGCGACGCCGCGUGAGUGAAGAAGUAUUUCGGUAUGUAAAGCUCUAUCAGCAGGGAAGAUAAUGACGGUACCUGACUAAGAAGCCCCGGCUAACUACGUGCCAGCAGCCGCGGUAAUACGUAGGGGGCAAGCGUUAUCCGGAUUUACUGGGUGUAAAGGGAGCGCAGACGGCAGUGCAAGUCUGGAGUGAAAGCCCGGGGCUCAACCCCGGAACUGCUCUGGAAACUGUGCGGCUAGAGUACUGGAGGG
rnacentral:rRNA from 1 species